UACGAAGGGGGCUAGCGUUGCUCGGAAUUACUGGGCGUAAAGCGCGCGUAGGCGGCUUUCUAAGUCGGGGGUGAAAUCCUGGAGCUCAACUCCAGAACUGCCUUCGAUACUGGAGAGCUUGAGUCCGGGAGAGGUGAGUGGAACUGCGAGUGUAGAGGUGAAAUUCGUAGAUAUUCGCAAGAACACCAGUGGCGAAAGGCGGCUCACUGGCCCGGUACUGACGCUGAGGUGCGAAGGCGUGGGGAGCAAACAGGAUUAGAAACCCU
rnacentral:rRNA from 1 species